GGGAUUACUAUAUAACUUGUGCUGUUCUGAUUACAUUCUACUCAUGGAGAUACUCAUAAACAGAAAAAUCAUCAUAAAGCAAAGACCCAUCUACAUAAUGGAGCAUGUAAUAGCACAGUUCACAGAAGUAGCAAGGAUUUUCAGCAGCCCAUUUAUCAUCAACAGUCACCUUAACUGCUUUAAAAAUCUUGCAAACAGAGCAUUUCUGGAACCUCAAUUUUGGCUGAAAGGUAAUCAGUGGAUACGCGGCUCGGUUUUGUACAUCCUCAGGGUGUAUCAUCCUCAUGUCUCUUAUUACAACUAGAUGCUUGCAGUCUCCCUGGUGACAGUAAAGAUAUCCAGCACCAAGUCGAAACCAUAAGUCACAGAAGCGGGUUUUUUGCAUUUGAAUGGUCUUGAAAUGGGGCAAUUGUGGUCCAAUUUUACUGCCAAAAAGUGCCUUCUGUUUCUGUGGCAGUUCACCAGAAGC
rnacentral:misc_RNA from 1 species